GAUGAACGCUGGCGGCGUGCCUAAUACAUGCAAGUCGAGCGAACAGACGAGGAGCUUGCUCCUCUGACGUUAGCGGCGGACGGGUGAGUAACACGUGGAUAACCUACCUAUAAGACUGGGAUAACUUCGGGAAACCGGAGCUAAUACCGGAUAAUAUAUUGAACCGCAUGGUUCAAUAGUGAAAGACGGUUUUGCUGUCACUUAUAGAUGGAUCCGCGCCGCAUUAGCUAGUUGGUUAGGUAACGGCUUACCAAGGCGACGAUGCGUAGCCGACCUGAGAGGGUGAUCGGCCACACUGGAACUGAGACACGGUCCAGACUCCUACGGGAGGCAGCAGUAGGGAAUCUUCCGCAAUGGGCGAAAGCCUGACGGAGCAACGCCGCGUGAGUGAUGAAGGUCUUCGGAUCGUAAAACUCUGUUAUUAGGGAAGAACAAAUGUGUAAGUAACUAUGCACGUCUUGACGGUACCUAAUCAGAAAGCCACGGCUAACUACGUG
rnacentral:rRNA from 1 species